CAGCCGCCGCGGUAAUACGUAGGGUGCGAGCGUUAAUCGGAAUUACUGGGCGUAAAGCGUGCGCAGGCGGUUAUAUAAGUCAGAUGUGAAAUCCCCGGGCUCAACCUGGGAACUGCAUUUGAGACUGUAUGGCUAGAGUGUGUCAGAGGGGGGUAGAAUUCCACGUGUAGCAGUGAAAUGCGUAGAUAUGUGGAGGAAUACCGAUGGCGAAGGCAGCCCCCUGGGAUAACACUGACGCUCAUGCACGAAAGCGUGGGGAGCAAACAGGAUUAGAUACCCCUGUAGUCCCUGUCUCUUAUAC
rnacentral:rRNA from 1 species